AGCAACCGGAAGCAAUACUGGAGUAAACAGUUGCGUGCAGAACUGAUUUUGUUGUUUGUGGCGCUGAAACUUCUUUCAUACCGUCUACCUUUUUCUUUUCCCAUCAUCCUCUUACAGGUCCAAAAUGACGCUGAACGUAAAGAACUACACCUGGACCCAAACAGAGUCGACGGUCAAUAUCCGCGUGCCGAUUAAAGGCGCGAGAGCCUCGAACGUGGACAUCGUGUCAACGGACGAGUAUCUGAAGGUCCAUUUCCCUCCAUUUCUGUUCGAGGCCUUCUUGUUUGAAAUGGUUGAUGACAGCAGGAGCACAGCAAAGAUUGGAAAUGGAGUCAUUGUUUUCACUCUGCAGAAGAGAGCCUGUAGACUGUGGGAGCAUCUGAUGGUCCAUACAAAUGACAAAGAAACAAUGAGGGAAAUCAGGGAGAGAGCCCAGCAGCAAUUCCAGCAGAAGGUUUGUGCAGAGAGCAGAGAGAAGGCAGAAAAACAGCAUGCAGACAAGAAGUACGCUCUGCAGACAAUGAUACAGCUCGAAAAAGAGGAAAAAGACAGAAUCCAGAAGAUGAAGGACGCAGAGCGAGAGAAAGCCAGCGCUGAGCUUGAGGCGUUGCAGCAGAGGCAGGAGGCACAAGAAAAGGACCAACAUGACAUCGACAAUCAGAUCCAGGAGAGAGCAGAGGAUCAAAAAAGUCGAUUUAAGGUUUUCACGAAAUUCAGAGAGGCUUGCAACAACCUCAAGAAGAAGAAAGCAGCCAAGCUGCCACCUGAGAGACCCAGAGGCAACAUUCGGUUCGCUUUCACCCCUCGAGCUUUCCCAACGGCACUUAGAGAGUCACAAAUGGCUGAGGAAGAGGAGUGGCUCAGGGCGCAGGCCGAGGCCAGAGGAGCGGCGAGUGCAGACGCUCUAGAGCUGACGGACCUGACGAAGGAGGAGAGGAACCCCGAUUGGCUGAAGGACAAAGGAGACAAGUGUUUUAGGGUGGGGGACUACAUGGGGGCGCUGAACGCCUACAGCCUGGCCAUCAGGAUCAACAAGAAGAUCCCGGCUCUGUUUUCAAACAGGGCAGCGUGUCACCUGAUGCUAAAGAAUCUGCACAAAGCCAUCCAGGAUGCUUCUGAGGCGCUCGAGCUGCUGACUCCUGCAGUGGCUGCAAACGCCACCGCCAGACUCCGACCAACAGUUCGUCGAGGAACUGCCUUCUGCCUGCUGCAGCUAUAUGAAGAAGGGUUACAGGACUACGAGGCUGCCCUGAAGAUUGACCCCCAUAACCAGGCUCUGCAGGCAGACACACAGAGUAUCAGAGACGUCAUCCAGACCUCUUCAGCCAGACAGUUGCACUGACUAACCCUACCGUUCUUCCUUCAUCAUUAAAAGUGCAUGGGAUUAUGCUGCAGAUUUUCUAUUUUUGAGCAGAUUGAAGAAGUGCAUUUCAUGGUUAAAAAAAUAUGGUCCUCUCCAGGGCUUUCCGCUGGAGGUCUGAGAAGACAGCACGCCGCAGCAUGCCCCUCCUGGGCUUCCCUCUGGGGGCCAGGGGCCAGGAGAAGGUUCCUGGGACGGGAACCACAGAGGAGGAGGCUGGAGGGAGGAAGCACAGAAGGCAGUGAAAAUUUGUUCAACCUGAAGCAAUAAAACCUUCAGCUAAGAAUAAAAAAAAUGAUUGAAA